rnacentral:rRNA from 1 species
AGGGCGCGCGGUGGAUGCCUAGGAAACGGGAGGCGAAGAAGGACGUGGCAGGCUGCGAAAAGCGACGGUGAGCUGCGAGCGAGCGUUGACCCGUCGAUGUCCGAAUGGGGAAACCCACCCAACGAGAGUUGGGAGCGAAAGCGCGAACCGGGUGAAGUGAACCAUCUCAGUAACCCGAGGAAAAGAAAUCGAAGAGAUUCUCCAAGUAGCGGCGAGCGAAAGGGGAGGAGCCCAAAUCAUAUACGUGAGAUAGCCCACAGGCGUUGCGUAUAUGAGGUUAAAGGGCCAUCUGAGGUACUGCUGUGGAAGUAUCGAGGCGAAAUCAUGUUUAGUCGAAUGAACUGGGAAGUUCAACCGAAGAAGGUGAAAGUCCUGUAGGCGAAAGGCAUGAGGAGUCUUAAGGUGGAACCUGAGUAAGGCGGGGCACGAGGAACCCCGUCUGAAUUUGGGGAGACCAUUCUCCAAGGCUAAAUACUACCCGUUUACCGAUAGUGAAGUAGUACCGUGAGGGAAAGGUGAAAAGUACCCCGGGAGGGGGAUGAAAGAGAACCUGAAACCGCGUGUCCACAAGAAGUCGGAGCACGAAAGUGCGACGGCAUGCCUUUUGAUUAAUGCGCCUGCGAGUUGUGUUGUGUGGCGAGGUUAAGUCGGGAAAGACGAAGCCGAAGGGAAACCGAGUCCGAAUAGGGCGACAAGUCACAUGAUGCAGACCCGAAGCCAGAUGAGCUACCCAUGACCAGGAAGAAGGUGGGCUAAACCCCACUGGAGGUCCGAACCAGUUGCUAGUGAAAAAGCAUUGGAUGAGUUGUGGGUAGGAGUGAAAAGCUAAUCGAAUCUGGUGAUAGCUGGUUCUCCCCGAAACGUAUUUAGGUACGGCCUUGCAUGGUCAGUCAUGGAGGUAGAGCACUGGAUGGGGUAGGGGGCGUGAGCCUUCCGAACUCAACCAAACUCCGAAUGCCAUGACUUAAAGUGCAGGAGACAGACUACGAGGGAUAAGCUCCGUGGUCGAAAGGGAAACAGCCCAGACCGUCAGUUAAGGUCCCAAAUGCCUGACUAAGUGUUAAAGGAAGUUAUGAGCCUGAGACAUCCAGGAGGUUGGCUCAGAAGCAGCCAUCCUUAAAAGAGUGCGUAACAGCUCACUGGUUGAGGCACAUUGCGCCGAAGAUGUAAGGGGGCUGAAGUCAGGAACCGAAGCUGCGGAACUGAGAAGUUGGUAGGGGAGCGUUGGACAGUAGGGAGAAGGUGUACCCGUGAGGGGCGCUGGACGAAGUCCAAGUGUGGAUGCAGGCCCGAGUAGCGAGAGGAAGGUGAGAAUCCUUCCCCCCUGAAGCCCAAGGGUACCUGGGGAAGGUUUGUCCACCCAGGGUUAGGCGGGACCCUAAGGAAAAGGUGAAAGCCGUAUCUGAUGGGAAACAGGUUAAUAAUCCUGUCCUUGGGAGCUGGAGUGAAGCGGUGACGCAGGAGGAGAAGUACCGUGGUCAAGUGGCACGGCCAUCUAAGUGACGAGUUAUGGUGCGCAGGCAAAUCCACGCACAAAAGGCGAGUCAUGACGGGGAGUGGCGCAGUGAUGCGUUGCGACGGUAUAGAUUCACACUGCCGAGAAAAACCGCUAAACGAUGAAGGCUUUCAAACCGUUCUGUAAACCGACACAGGUGGGCUGGCAUAGAAUGCUAAGGGGGACGAGAUAACUUCCGCUAAGGAACUAGGCAAAAUGGCCUCGUAACUUAGGGAGAAGAGGCACUUGAGAUUGUGGGAAACUGCAAUAGCAAGUCGCAGAGAGUAGGUCCAGGCGACUGUUUACCAAAAACACAUGACUCUGCAAACUUCUAAAGAGGAAGUAUAGGGUCUGACGCCUGCCCAGCACCGGAAGGUUAAGGGGAGCUGUGAUGAGCGGUGAACUGAAGCCCCGGUAAACGGCGGCCGUAACUAUAACGGUCCUAAGGUAGCGAAAUUCCUUGUCGGGCAAGUUCCGACGUGCAUGAAUGGCGUAACGAUCUGGACACUGUCUUAGCGGGAGGCUCGGUGAAACUACAAUCCGGGUGAAGAUGCCCGGUACCUACGGCUAGACGGAAAGACCCCAUGAAGCUUGACUGUACCCUGAUAUUGUGCUUUAGCGCAUCAUGUACAGGAUAGGUGGGAGGCUGAGAACCAUUCUCGUCAGGGGAUGGGGAGCCGGAAGUGGGAUACCACCCUUGAUGUGUUGGAGUGCUAACUUAAGCCACUAAAGGUGGCAGAGGACAGUGUCAGGCGGGCAGUUUGACUGGGGCGGUCGCCUCCCAAAAGGUAACGGAGGCGUACAAAGGUCACCUCAGGCUGGUUGGUAAUCAGCCGGUGAGUGCAAAGGCAAAAGGUGGCCUGACUGUGAGAGCGACGGCUCGAGCAGACGCGAAAGCGGGUCUUAGUGAUCCUGUGGCACUGAAUGGAAGGGCCAUGGCUAAACGGACAAAAGUUACUCUGGGGAUAACAGGCUGAUACCGUCCGAGAGUUCACAUCGACGACGGUGUUUGGCACCUCGAUGUCGACUCAUCGCAUCCUGGGGCUGAAGCAGGUCCCAAGGGUUGGGCUGUUCGCCCAUUAAAGCGGUACGUGAGUUGGGUUCAGAACGUCGUGAGACAGUUCGGUCCCUAUCUACCGUAGGCGAAGGAGACUUGAGGGGAGUCGCUCCCAGUACGAGAGGACCGGGGCGAAUGUACCAAUGGUGAACCAGUUAUCCUGCCAGGGGUAAAAGCUGGGUAGCCAAGUGCAAAAUGAUAAGCGCUGAAAGCAUCUAAGCGCGAAGCAAACCCCAAGAUAAGGUCUCCCACUCGAAAGAGGUAAGGGUGGUUCGAGAACAGGACCUUGA